AAUUAUACGAUGAAACAUACAGAUUAUGAAAGCAAAUACAUUGUUUUGUUAAAACCAGAUGAAACCAAACCGCGAAAAAUCAAAACGUUGACAACCACCAUAUGGAAAUUAGCCAUAGCGACUUCCGACUGAUUAUGAUAGUGCGUCACAUAUGUUAAUGUUCAUUUAGAAAAUAGAUUACCAACUAUACUUGUGUUAUAACUAAAUCCAUCAAUAAAAUUAUGAUAUUCUCAUAAUGUCAUGUUGUACAGUACAGUAGCCAGACAAACGAAAGACAGUUUAUUGUGCGUCACAUCCGGUGGAAUAUUCUAGCGGAUUCUUCUGUUGGACUUUAAAAGCAGGCGCGCAGAGACGCAGACUGAGAUGCUUUUUUACAGCAUCAUCUUUAGGUCCUUCCAGCUGCUGUGCUGUGGGCAGACUGACGCAGAGAGAAUCAUGAUUCUGCUGACUCCAUCCUCUGGUUUCUUCCAGCGUACCAAUAAGCUCUUUCUAAGCGAGCAGGCCACGGGUGUCCAGCUCAAGGAGUUUGUACGCAAAAAUGCAGCCAAUGCUCUGUCUAUGGCCAACAUGCUCAUGGGCAUGGCCUCUAUUCUCUGCAGCCUGAACGGCCACCAACAUGCAGCCUGCUGGCUGGUCCUGAUUGGCUACCUGCUGGAUUUGGCAGAUGGGGCAGUUGCCAGACGACUUGAUGCAUGCUCACCACUAGGUGCUAAACUGGAUGAUUUUGCAGAUUUCACAACCUUUGGGAUUGCGACAUCAUUGCUCCUGAGGACACAUGCCUUAAUGGACAACAUCCUGUGCAUGUGCUACGUCCUGUCUGUGUUUGUCCGCCUCUGCUUCUUCUCCAGUGGCAUCCCCUUCAUGUACCGUGGCCUGCCAUGUAUCUACUCUUCCGCCAUCCUGGCCUGCCUCUCCCUGUUGACCGGAGGUAACAUGGUGAUCCUGCGGGUCACUGCUGUGGCCAUGAUCCUCUUCAUGGUCAACCAGGGCUUCUACCCUCACGACAGGGUCCUGGAGUCACAGGCCUGGAAGAAGGUGGUCUACGCUGGAGAGCGCCUCAGACAGAGACUUUACUGGAAGCCUAUGGCAGGAGCGGAUGAUCUCUGUCCACCACCAUCUAGCGCAACUCGUAGAACCUUCCCCUAAGUGUGCUGCAUCCAGGAGCCAGUAUUGUUUCUGUGUGCAACAAAGAGAACCCUCUGAAUCAGAACUCGGAGUUGUCAUGGUGUUCUGUUCCUCUUUCUCUCCGGCAUGUGUGUACUACCUGUUGUGGUCUGUCUCCUACAUUUUGUUCCCAACAUCUCUUUGGAGUUGCAAAGUGUAGUAGGAGUUAAAGGCCUUGCUCCAAACUCACACAUGGCUUGUCAACAGGCCGUCCGGCGGGGUUAACUAAAGCUCCCAGACUGCUGCUGCUAGCUAUCCACAGCGGAUCGAAAAAGGACGUAAGAGGACGUUUUAAUGUUUUUGUAAGAUUUAACUGCCUUUUUCAUCAUGACCACUUGAUGGAUAAUGUAAUGUACCUUAGCCAUUUUGUUUUUGAUUAAUACGGUGUUUGAAUGUCUAGUUAUGUUUUUACAAUACAAUGGCAGAAUUGUA